CACAGAAAUGAAUGGAUUGCCCAUGGCUGCUGAGAUUUCCAGUGUACGAUAAUCAACUCCUCACCUAACAAGCAAAAGCAAACCUGGAACCCAUGGAACAACUGCAUCAUCGGAGUCUGUAGAUAUCACAGAACUGAGAUUGCUGCUCUCCAGUCCACAGCAGGCAAACCCACGCACCUCGGGUGGAAUAGCAAUGGAAACCUCAAGUGAAUUGAUCACUGCUCCAAGUCAGCCAGAACCAACUGAUGAAGUUGCACCACAAGCACACCCAGAUACAGUAUGGUUUUCUCAAAACAAACCAAAGCCCGGGUUGCUAAGAAAAUGUACAAGCCAACAAAACAGACCUUCCGGUUGGACCUGGUAGAGCGUGUGCUGAAAAGACGACAAGACAAGACAAUGACCCGCUCUCCCAUGUACAACUUCCAAGACGACCACCCAAGAACAUAACCAGUUUUCAAUUACCAAGACAGGGCCGUGAUUGUAACUGCACACCCGUCCCGAUUCUAACUCCUGCCCCUUACCACUGUAGCUCAAAGGACAAAAUGAAUGUUCCCACUCUGGUCCUGAUACCCCACUGAGAGUCCCUGCCCCCUAAUCACAGCCACCACACAAAUGGUAAUCAAAACUGGUUUAGGCCAACUUGGAUGAAUGUUUUGAUUUACAGAAUAGUAGCAAACCACCCAAGUCAAC